rnacentral:tRNA from 1 species
UCCCCGGCGGUCCAGUGGUUAGGACUCGGGGCUUUCACUGCCGAGAGCCUGGGUUCAAUCCCUGGUUGGGGAA